ACGAGNAACCCAAUUAGCUUGCUAUGAGGGGGACAGUGGCGUAAGGGAGAGUAACGCGUGGUUAUGUACCUUCGAGACCGGGAUAGUGUCGGGAAACUGGCAGUAAUACCGGAUAACAUCUUCGGAUCAAAUGGUGUGAUUCCGCUCGAAGAUCGGACCGCGUACUAUUAGCUUGUUGGUGGGGUAACGGCCCACCAAGGCUGCGAUGGUUACCGGGUGUGAGAGCAUGGCCCGGCUCACUGGGACUGAGACACUGCCCAGACACCUACGGGUGGCUGCAGUCGAGAAUCUUCGGCAAUGGACGAAAGUCUGACCGAGCGAUGCCGCGUGCGGGAUGAAGGCCCUCGGGUUGUAAACCGCUGUCAGUUGUUAGGAAAUCUCAUAGGGUUCUCCCUAUGGGUUGACCGAUCUUCAGAGGAAGGACGGGCUAAGUUCGUGCCAGCAGCCGCGGUAAGACGAACCGUCCGAACGUUAUUCGGUAUCACUGGGCUUAAAGCGUGCGUAGGCGGCUUGGUAGGUGAGAUGUGAAAGCCCACGGCUCAACCGUGGAAUUGCGUUUCAAACCCCCAGGCUCGAGGAAGAUAGGGGUGAUGGGAACUUAUGGUGGAGCGGUGAAAUGCGUUGAUAUCAUAGGGAACACCGGUGGCGAAAGCGCAUCACUGGAUCUUUUCUGACGCUGAGGCACGAA
rnacentral:rRNA from 1 species